UACGGGGGGGGCAAGCGUUGUUCGGAAUUACUGGGCGUAAAGCGCGCGUAGGCGGCUCUUCAAGUCGAGUGUGAAAGCUCCAGGCUUAACUUGGGAAUUGCGCUUGUGACUGGCGUGCUGGAGUGUGGCAGAGGGAGGUGGAAUUCCACGUGUAGCAGUGAAAUGCGUAGAGAUGUGGAGGAACACCGAUGGCGAAGGCAGCCUCCUGGGCCAGCACUGACGCUCAUGCACGAAAGCGUGGGGAGCAAACAGG
rnacentral:rRNA from 1 species